GGGUCAGUAGGUUGGUCGUGCCACCGGUACGUACUGGUCUCACUGAUUCCUCCUUCCUGAAGAACCGUAAUGCCAUUAAUUUGGUGUUGCGGGGAAACAGGACUGUUACUUUGAAAAAAUUAGGGUGUUUAAAGCAAGCUAACGCUUGAAUACAUUAGCAUGGAAUAAUGAAAUAGGACGAUCGAUCCUAUUUUGUUGGUUUCUGGGAUUGACGUA
rnacentral:rRNA from 1 species